CCGGGGCUGGGAAACGGCUCUCUCGCCCCCGGGAAGGGCAGUGAGGAGGCGCGGGGAGCCCAGCGCCAGCCCGGCCUGCGACGGCGGCGAGCGCGGCGCCUCCACCAAGUUUCCGGGCGGGGAAGAAAGUCGAAACCUACGUGAGAGAAGGAGGAGGAGGACAGCGCAGCCGCCCAGGUCCAGGUUCCAGUGUUCACACUGAGGCAGCUCCCUGUAACUCUCAUGCUUCAAACCAGUGGGGUUUAAAAGUUCUCAAGCUGUGUUAGCACUACAUCCAAGCCUUGGAAAUGCCCUUUCUGCAGAUGAGAACAUCCUGAGACCAUUUUUGGAAAUCCACUGAAACUGAGUCACACCAGCAAUCCAUCUUUGCUCCGCAAGAUCCAUGUUACCACUGGACCUGAAGUGUCAGCACUGGACUUGAUCUUUGGUGAUGCUCAGCCCAAAUGCCUUCACUGCCCUCCCUUAUUGACUUCUUGAAGAAAAGAGGGACAUGGUGAUAAUUUCCAUGACAACACAGAAAGAUUCCAGAAACAGAGAUUUCUGACUAAAUAUAUGAAGGUUGCUGAAAAGCACAACUGCAAGAAUUCUGCCUACUCACUGGGAAUAACAGACAGAAGAGUUAAGCCUCUGUGUGUGUGACAAUGCUGGUACCACCUGUAAAGUCCUGGGAUUCCCAUAUCCUGGUUAUCCCAGACGUGCACAGGGAUGGGAACUGGGCGUCCUCCCUACUUGAGUGCUUCAGGAACUGAUCCAAAGAGAAACCUCUGGAUGGACAACUGUUAAAGAGAACGUGACUCGGGGAAAAAGGAAACCUUCAAAAGAAUGAGAAGUGUGAGAAACUGCCUACAAAAUGCUGCUCCAAGGACCUAUUUUGCCCAAAUAAUCAUUUUCAGAAACAGUCAAAAUGCUUUUAAAGAAAA